rnacentral:sRNA from 1 species
CGACGGAGGCCGAGGAAGCGAAUGGUCGAACGACCAAGGUGAGGCAUAACCGUACCGACCUUAGGCCGAACGGUCUUAAAAGGGCUCGGGAAUUCGGUUGAUGCGAUCUAUCCUUCUAAUAUUCUGUUCUAACGAUUGAGUUAUGUGUGGGGGGUGAAACAUGGGGAGCAUCAUAGCAUAUGCAUGAUCGCUAAGUGUAAACUACGGCAUACUCAUGAUUCGUUAAUUUCAGGAUUUGACCAAAUUCGUGGGAAGGAUUUGGCUUAGCUGCAAGGAUGGUUGUUCGGGCAAGUGGGUGGUGUUUAAGUCAAAGUAUUGGAUCGAAUGAUUGUAAUAGCCUAUAGUGCAAACACUCAUGUCGUUCGAAACCUUAUAUGAAUAAAGUUGGCUUGUUUCUUUAUGUGAAUUUGUCUCUUUUUACUUAUGAAUCUCAGAAUUUCCGCUGCCAAUUACACUUAGAGCGAAUUCGGAUAGGACCCGAGGACACUUGAGUUAUCCUCGGAUGGGAACAACCUCACCGGACGGACAGCCCGGGAUGGGACGUUUCAAGUCUCUCCUGAGUUUAAUUGUUGUUAGAAUCAAUUUGUUAAGUUGAGUGCGUGACCAUGAGCUUAUCUGAGCGAUUGGGUUGUAUGAUUUGUUUUGUGGGAUGAUAUGUAGGUGUGGUGAAUGUGUUUUUGGGUGAAUUGUUCAAUAACUGGUUCGUUAUGUUGUAUUUGUGAUUAUACCCCUUUUCUUUGCUUGUGUGUAUAGCUGGUAGAAGGAAGGAUCACCUCACUAAGUAUUUGUGAUAAUACUUACGCAUAUCUUUCUUUUUGGUGCAGUUAAAGAUAAAGUGUGAUCGUGGAAUCAUGGCAAGGAAGAGAGGAUGAUCUAGGAACUCGUUUGAUUUAUUUUUGUGUUUUGGUUAUUGGAACUGGUAAGGGUUGUGUUAGGAUUGUUAGUCAUCAUUUA